AACGAACGCUGGCGGCAGGCUUAACACAUGCAAGUCGAGCGCCCCGCAAGGGGAGCGGCGCACGGGUGAGUAACGCGUGGGAACUUGUCCUCUGGUACGGAACAACCGAGGGAAACUUCGGCUAAUACCGUAUGAGCACUCUGGUCGAAAGGUUGGGGUGGAAAGAUUUAUCGCCAGGGGAGAGGCCCGCGUCCGAUUAGGUAGUUGGUGGGGUAAAGGCCUACCAAGCCUUCGAUCGGUAGCUGGUCUGAGAGGAUGAUCAGCCACACUGGGACUGAGACACGGCCCAGACUCCUACGGGAGGCAGCAGUGGGGAAUAUUGGACAAUGGGCGCAAGCCUGAUCCAGCCAUGCCGCGUGAGUGAUGAAGGCCUUAGGGUUUAGUAAGCUUCGUUUCGGGACGGGGAAGAAUAA
rnacentral:rRNA from 1 species